rnacentral:rRNA from 1 species
UACAGAGGGUGCGAGCGUUAAUCGGAAUUACUGGGCGUAAAGCGCACGUAGGCGGCUUGGUAUGUCGGGUGUGAAAUCCCCGGGCUCAACCUGGGAACUGCAUCCGAAACUGCCUUGCUAGAGUAUGGGAGAGGGAAGUGGAAUUUCCGGUGUAGCGGUGAAAUGCGUAGAUAUCGGAAGGAACAUCAGUGGCGAAGGCGGCUCUCUAGUACGGUACUGACGCUGAGACGCGAAAGCGUGGGGAGCAAACAGG